rnacentral:rRNA from 1 species
GACGAACGCUGGCGGCGUGCUUAACACAUGCAAGUCGAACGGAAAGGCCCUGCUUUUGUGGGGUGCUCGAGUGGCGAACGGGUGAGUAACACGUGAGUAACCUGCCCUUGACUUUGGGAUAACUUCAGGAAACUGGGGCUAAUACCGGAUAGGAGCUCCUGCUGCAUGGUGGGGGUUGGAAAGUUUCGGCGGUUGGGGAUGGACUCGCGGCUUAUCAGCUUGUUGGUGGGGUAGUGGCUUACCAAGGCUUUGACGGGUAGCCGGCCUGUGAGGGUGACCGGCCACAUGGGGACUGAGAUACGGCCCAGACUCCUACGGUAGGCAGCAGUGGGGAAUAUUGCACAAUGGGCGGAAGCCUGAUGCAGCAACGCCGCGUGCGGGAUGACGGCCUUCGGGUUGUAAACCGCUUUCGCCUGUGACGAAGCGUGAGUGACGGUAAUGGGUAAAGAAGCACCGGCUAACUACGUG